rnacentral:lncRNA from 1 species
AUAAAAAGUAUAAAUUUAUAAAAAAAGCACAAGAAAACACUAAAUUUUAUUGGAAAAACUUAAAAUACCAUCCAUAUAGUUUCACACUUUUUUAUUUUAGUACCAUAUUGUUUAAAGUGUAUCAAUUUAGUACCCGUAAUUUUAUUUUUCUUUUUUUAUUAUCUCCUUCAUUAAUUUUUUUCGUUAAAUCUGUGACAAAGUUAAAACUAAAAAGUACUAAAGUGAAUAUUUGAUAAACCUAGUUGGGGUAUCUGAAGUUUUUUGUAUGUAAUUUAACAAAAUAUUAACUAAGAAGCUAACGAAAAGAGAAAAAUAAAAUCAUAAGUACUUAAUUAAUACAUUUUAAACUAAACUAAGAAAGUACGAAACCACCCGGAUGGUAUUUGAAAUUUAUCCUAC